AUUGAACGCUGGCGGCAUGCUUUACACAUGCAAGUCGAACGGUAACAGGCCGCAAGGUGCUGACGAGUGGCGAACGGGUGAGUAAUGCAUCGGAACGUGCACAGUCGUGGGGGAUAACUACUCGAAAGAGUAGCUAAUACCGCAUACGAUCUAUGGAUGAAAGCGGGGGACCGUAAGGCCUCGCGCGAUUGGAGCGGCCGAUGUCAGAUUAGGUAGUUGGUGGGGUAAAGGCUCACCAAGCCAACGAUCUGUAGCUGGUCUGAGAGGACGACCAGCCACACUGGGACCGAGACACGGCCCAGACUCCUACGGGAGGCAGCAGUGGGGAAUUUUGGACAAUGGGCGCAAGCCUGAUCCAGCAAUGCCGCGUGCAGGAAGAAGGCCUUCGGGUUGUAAACUGCUUUUGUACGGAACGAAACGGCUCUGGUUAAUACCCGGGGCUAAUGACGGUACCGUAAGAAUAAGCACCGGCUAACUACGUG
rnacentral:rRNA from 1 species